rnacentral:lncRNA from 1 species
UUGGCACUCACACAAUUCACAUACUGCUUGUUAAGUACCUACUGUGGGCCAAAUACCAUGUAUCAUUUCUAGAUAAUCUUAUUUCAGCUUUGGAUUUUGGUGUUUGCAUGGAUACUUUGUAAGCUGUCAUAGCCCAUAGCCUUUAGGUGUUUUGAAACCUACAGUCUUAGUUCACAUAUUUGGGAUCCAGGCUUUAAUACUGUCAGCUGGUGAAAAUAUGGGUGUAGAAGAUAUUUUUGUAUGAUCAUAAAAAUUUGGAAAUUGAGAGUUUUUAAAUAUUAGUUGAAAAGUGGACAUACUUGAGAUUC